rnacentral:lncRNA from 1 species
GGACAAUGAAGCCUCUAAGCCUCUAUGGAACAAGCAGUGCCCUCAAACCUGAUGUGCCACCUUCUAAGCUUGCCUCUUGGACUCUCUAAGAGAUAUCUGGGUCCUGAGUGCCCCUAACUGAGGCCACUUGGCUGGCCAUGCUGCUUCCUGGUUAUGCCAAACAUCCCUACCUUGUGCUGGAGAGGCCUUUUCCUGAGUCUCUGGGGCCAGAUUCUGCUAGCUGCCCCUAUUCCUCAAAGCUCACCUGAACAGCUGGCAACUCAUAAUCAGAGACUUGGAGCACCAGCAUGUCUGCAAAGCAGCUUGAGCCUUCCGAGCUCCCGUGUGGAAUUUCCCUGCAGAAAUCUGGCUUGGAGCCCUGGAAGGAAGCCGUGGUUCAUCCUCCAGGCAGCUACAGCAGUAGCAGUAACAGAGGAGACUGGGGCUAGGAUCUGACCAGCAGCCAGUCUUCUCCAUCCACUCCAUUACCCCUGCUGCCUCCUGAAGCAGCCCACUUUCUGCUUGGGGAGCCCACUCUGAGAAAAAAACAAGGAGGCAGACAGCCAGUGUAGAGUGAGAACAAGGAGGACUUCACUACACGGAGCUCUAUGUUGGCGUGGCCGUGCUGCCUAAUGGGUUGUUCAGCCUGACCCCAGUGUCUCCUAUCGUCCUCAUGCCACUCACCUUUCCUCAUCUGGAGCUCCCAGAGUUGCUGGAACCCCCCCCCCCCCCCCCCGCUCUUCCCAACCUGUUACAGCCAGCUCUUUGUCUCUGCCUCCUAAGCUCAGCUGUUCAGCUGUUCCACAGGCAUGCCACAGUGACCAUGCCGAUCAGCCAAGUGAGGCCACAGACAGAGAUUGGGGUCAAGUCUCAGAGCACUCUGGAGAGAAACAGUACAGGGGUUGUGGCUCAUUCCAGAGCUGUCUGGCCACCUGGAGCCACAGGCCAGGGCCUACAUACCAGCCCUGCCUGCCAAGCUCAGGGCCAAUCCAAGGUGUGUGUAGUUUGAGGGGCUGGGCAUGUAAUACAUGGUAAAGGUCUCAGCUGACAAUUCUCCAUACCCCAUGCAUGUCCCUCCAGGAAGCGCCAAAAAGUUGGUGCCAAAAAGUGCCAGAGAGUUUAUAGCAUGGGACCCAUGGUGCUCAGUUUGCUGCUGGAAGAAAGCCUGCUAGCAGUUUCUGGACUGAGCCAAUCUGUGAUGCUACUGCUUGGCCUUCUUCUCACGCCUAACCUGAACCUACAGCAAACCUGUGGUGGGAUGUGACUCCGGGGGGUGGAGGGGUGACUGAAUACUCAAGUGCCUUGGAAGAAACCAGAAACCAAACUGCUUGUUGUCCUUUGACUUCAGGGGCAGUUUGCCUCCCUGUCUGUCACUUAGCUACUUGUCAAAGAUGUCAGUGGACCCCACUAGAGCCUGUUUAAGAUGCACUUUGAGAGGGGUCAAGGAGAGAGGAGUCUCGUGCUCACAUUUAAGGCAGUGAUUCCAGGACCGUGGGGCUGACAUUUUACCAUGUUAAUGAAGCUCAGGUGUCUUGUGUCUUGGCCACAGGAGUUGAGAAGAAAAAUUAAAAAUUUU